rnacentral:rRNA from 1 species
GACGAACGCUGGCGGCGUGCCUAAUACAUGCAAGUAGAACGCACAGUUUAUACCGUAGCUUGCUACACCAUAGACUGUGAGUUGCGAACGGGUGAGUAACGCGUAGGUAACCUGCCUGGUAGCGGGGGAUAACUAUUGGAAACGAUAGCUAAUACCGCAUAAUAUUAAUUAUUGCAUGAUAAUUAAUUGAAAGGUGCAAUUGCACCACUACCAGAUGGACCUGCGUUGUAUUAGCUAGUAGGUGAGGUAACGGCUCACCUAGGCGACGAUACAUAGCCGACCCGAGAGGGUGAUCGGCCACACUGGGACUGUGACACGGCCCAGACUCCUACGGGAGGCAGCCGUAGGGAAUCUUCGGCAAUGGACGAAAGUCUGACCGAGCAACGCCGCGUGAGUGAAGAAGGUUUUCGGAUCGUAAAGCUCUGUUGUAAGAGAAGAACGGGUGUGAGAGUGGAAAGUUCACACUGUGACGGUAUCUUACCAGAAAGGGACGGCUAACUACGUG